CCACGUUCAGAUGUAGAAUGUGGAUGGAUGGAAUCUUGUGCGCAAGCGUCGCAUUUUUGUAUUCUUUUCCUGUUUAUUUUCCUCCACAUAGUUGGGAACGCCAGCCAUGGCUGUGGGAAGUAGUUUACAAUGCUCUAUCAAUCUGAAAUAAGAAGGAUUUAGGCAAGAUCCCAAGGUGUAUCAUGGAGUUGAUAUCAAUUUUCGAAUCGUCUACAUAUAGGAGCACAUUCCACCAAACAAGCCCCUGGUUCUGCAGCAUUACACGGCUACAUCCUACUUCUGUAAAUGCGAUAAGAUAAGCUACAUAUCUUAAAAUGUAUCUGAUAAAGAUUAUCGAGACGA